rnacentral:rRNA from 1 species
UGCAGUCGAGCGGUAGCACAGAGAGCUUGCUCUCGGGUGACGAGCGGCGGACGGGUGAGUAAUGUCUGGGAAACUGCCUGAUGGAGGGGGAUAACUACUGGAAACGGUAGCUAAUACCGCAUAACGUCGCAAGACCAAAGUGGGGGACCUUCGGGCCUCAUGCCAUCAGAUGUGCCCAGAUGGGAUUAGCUAGUAGGUGGGGUAACGGCUCACCUAGGCGACGAUCCCUAGCUGGUCUGAGAGGAUGACCAGCCACACUGGAACUGAGACACGGUCCAGACUCCUACGGGAGGCAGCAGUGGGGAAUAUUGCACAAUGGGCGCAAGCCUGAUGCAGCCAUGCCGCGUGUGUGAAGAAGGCCUUCGGGUUGUAAAGCACUUUCAGCGGGGAGGAAGGCGAUAAGGUUAAUAACCUUGUCGAUUGACGUUACCCGCAGAAGAAGCACCGGCUAACUCCGUGCCAGCAGCCGCGGUAAUACGGAGGGUGCAAGCGUUAAUCGGAAUUACUGGGCGUAAAGCGCACGCAGGCGGUCUGUCAAGUCGGAUGUGAAAUCCCCGGGCUCAACCUGGGAACUGCAUUCGAAACUGGCAGGCUAGAGUCUUGUAGAGGGGGGUAGAAUUCCAGGUGUAGCGGUGAAAUGCGUAGAGAUCUGGAGGAAUACCGGUGGCGAAGGCGGCCCCCUGGACAAAGACUGACGCUCAGGUGCGAAAGCGUGGGGAGCAAACAGGAUUAGAUACCCUGGUAGUCCACGCCGUAAACGAUGUCGAUUUGGAGGUUGUGCCCUUGAGGCGUGGCUUCCGGAGCUAACGCGUUAAAUCGACCGCCUGGGGAGUACGGCCGCAAGGUUAAAACUCAAAUGAAUUGACGGGGGCCCGCACAAGCGGUGGAGCAUGUGGUUUAAUUCGAUGCAACGCGAAGAACCUUACCUGGUCUUGACAUCCACAGAACUUGCCAGAGAUGCUUUGGUGCCUUCGGGAACUGUGAGACAGGUGCUGCAUGGCUGUCGUCAGCUCGUGUUGUGAAAUGUUGGGUUAAGUCCCGCAACGAGCGCAACCCUUAUCCUUUGUUGCCAGCGGUCCGGCCGGGAACUCAAGGAGACUGCCAGUGAUAACUGGAGGAAGGUGGGGAUGACGUCAGUCAUCAUGGCCCUUACAACAGGGCUACCACGUGCUACAUGGCUUUUCAAGAAGAACGACCUCGCAGAACAACGGACCCCUAAGAUUUUCCCAAUCCGAAUGGAACUGCACCGCACCCCUGAAGCCGAAUCCUUUAAUCUAAAAAAAAAGCUCCGGGAAAACUUCCCGGCCUUUACCCCCCCCCCCC